rnacentral:rRNA from 1 species
AACGAACGCUGGCGGCAGGCUUAACACAUGCAAGUCGAACGGGUGUAGCAAUACAUCAGUGGCAGACGGGUGAGUAACACGUGGGAACCUUCCUAGAGGUACGGAACAACGUAGGGAAACUUGCGCUAAUACCGUAUACGCUCUUGCGAGGAAAGAUUUAUCGCCUUUAGACGGGCCCGCGUCGGAUUAGCUAGUUGGUGAGGUAACGGCUCACCAAGGCGACGAUCCGUAGCUGAUCUGAGAGGAUGAUCAGCCACACUGGGACUGAGACACGGCCCAGACUCCUACGGGAGGCAG